rnacentral:tRNA from 1 species
GGGUAUAUGUCAGUGGUAGAGCACAUGCUUAGCAUGCAUGAUGUCCUGGGUUCAAUCCCUAGUCUCUCCA